UGGUUUUUGACGAGUCGAUAAACCGCCACCGCAAUUCGUCCGCAGUAACGCAAUUCGCUCGCGCACCAAUCCGCAACCCGCAACCACUAUCUUACAUCCGAUCACGUUCUAAUCACAUGAAUGUUUACGGAAUGUUUACAAAGACACGAGAGGUGCAAUACCUAUCGAUCAAAAACAUGAAAUAUUGACUGUAAACAGAUCUUUUAUACUGAUCUGCUUGUAAAUAAUGUGGGAUGAAAAUGACGAAGAAGUCAGAAAUAUGUAACAUGAUAAAAACCGUUUUAAAGCAAGUACAUUUUUAAUAAGAAUCAUAUUUUUAUUUAUUUUGUCGAACACAAUUCACAAAUCGUUUAAAAGUAUACAACCAAUAUACAACGAAUCUUCAGUCUUUGGACUUUAAACUUGUCAAGUUUUGACAUUUUACAUGCAGUUUAUUUUAAAGAUUUUAUAUAUAAAUAUGGUAAGUGAAUUAUGCUUUUUUUGUAAUUGUUAUAGUGUAGAAUCAUCCGUGUUUACAUUGAAUGUUAAUAAUUUCUAAUUUAGCAUUCUAAUUGGUCAAUAAAGACACAAUUGCUUGCUCAUUUGCUGUUAUAGGACACAAAUUAAAUUCAUUGUUUGUAAAUCGUUAGACGUUAUAAUAGCACAAUAUAAAGCCCCAAUAGAAUUAUUUAGUUGGAAAAAGUCAUUUUUAUAAUGAUAUAUUGAUAAUUCCCAUUUACAAAUUAAUCCAUUUAUUUUUUUCAAAAGGUAUUCCAUUAAAACCAUUCAAAUUAUUGAAAACCAUUGAUGUGAAAAUAAUACAUAAUUUCCAUCAAGGUUUAUUCUACAAACUGUCAGAAUUAAUGAAUACCAUUUCCAUAUGGUCGUAAUUAACGGUGACGUCAUAAACAGCCAGUUUUAAUAUAAUAGUUUAUACCUGUAAACCACAUAAGUAUUCCGUAGUUAUAAUCUCUCCGCAUAUUUUCAGUUCUAAAAUGUUGUAUUUUGGCUGAUGAGAAAGAUUGUGGUUUAAUUUUUACGACUGUUACGACCAUAUGGAAACCAGGUUUAAUGAGUUCAUUUAUUUACCAAUAUACAUUUUGCUGGCAAUAUUCACGUCAAUUAUUCACAGUAAUAUAAUGUAAAACUCGGUAAUAAUUAACGAGGAAAUAUAUUAUAUAUGUGAUAAAAAUCCUGUUAAUUUACAUAAACUUUAGCUUGGAUUUUCUCGUCUUAGACAAUGUUUAUUUUUGAAAUUACUUUGCCAAUGAACUCAUAUUAGAUGGGUCGUUUUUAAUUUAAGCCAUUUAUAAUACUCACAGUUUGUGCUCUAUCGGAUAUAAAACACUCCUACUUGUGUUUUAAAUAGUACAUAACACCCAUUCUUAUUUUCACCAGAAUACAGCAAAUUGCAAAACUAAAGAAAAGACGUUCAAGGUUCUAGUCCUUGGUGAUGUUGGCACAGGAAAAACAAGUUUCAUACGAAGAUAUGUCAGCCAAAAAUUCUUUAUCAACUACAAGGCAACA
rnacentral:lncRNA from 1 species